UCGAGUUAGGGUCCUCUGGGCCCCAUCUCCAACCCUUGUCUAUCUCACCACGUUGCUUUGGCGGGCUCGUCUUUGACCGGACCGUCGGGGGUGUACCCCCUGAUCAGCGCCCGCCAGUAGCCCCUACAAAAUCAUUGAAUGGUGUCGUCUAAGUCAGGAAACAAAAUAACCAA
rnacentral:misc_RNA from 1 species